CUCAUGCUGACGGCACCCAUUCACUACAGAGGAUCCAUUGGUGAAGUGAUGUAAUGCAAAAUUUCUCCAAAUCUGCUUUAAUGAAGAAACAAACUCAUCUACAUCUUGGAUGGCCUGAGGGCUGUCAAAUCACUCAAUCUGCCCCUGGGUUUAACCUUUACCACCACCCACACAUAAGGAAAAUAUCUUCUUUUAAAAGACAUUUUCACAAGCAUUUCCAGAAGGAGAAACAAACAAAACCCAGGAAAAGGUAACUGUAAAAAUGAGAAAAUCUAAAGCUUUCUCACAACAUCACAACCAGACAAGCAUGAAGUCCCAGCGUCAGACAGCAGAGCACAAGCAGGUAAAGAGGUGGGAUGUCUUUCAGCACCUACUCAAUGAGGAACAGAUGCUGACCUUUAUCCAAGAGUCACUGUGGGGAACAGACGCGGAAACAAUGCCAAAAAUGGCCUGUCGUCAUUUUGCUAACGAGAUUUGCCAACACUCGGCACAAUCAGGGCGAUUCAUUAAGCAAAGCCUCUUUAGUGAGCAGUGCAGAAGACAUGCUGGUCACCUCAACAGGUACACUGAUGAGACUAAGGACCGGUUUGCUAAUAAUGGAGGCGUGAAAAGAUCCUCUAGAGAUUUAGAGAUGUUCCUCAUGAUUCAUUCUCCAGCACUUUCUAUACAUACUGUACUUACUUUUUCUCUACCUAAGCUUGUAUUUUUAGCAAUGCUGCUGAUUUUUCUGUGUGACAGUAGCACCGCUGUUCUCAGAACAAUGUAGCUUUUUAAGUGGAGCAUGUUUUU